CGUCAGCGAUGUUUGCCACCUCGAUUAAAGAUAGUCGAGUAUAAAUAGGGUGAAUUGCAAGAAAAUCUAAGUAUAUAUAUAUAUAUAUGAUAAUUUGCAGCGAAGUUAUGUUAAAAACAUAAAACGUUCAACGACUAGAAAGAAUAAUAUCUUUCCAAGAGAGCCCUAAAUUUACAGUAUAUAAAUAUAUAAAUAUAUAUAUAUUAUAAGAAUUGUAAAUUAUGACAUAGUCUAAACUAUAAUGAAAAUUAUAG
rnacentral:ncRNA from 1 species